rnacentral:lncRNA from 1 species
UUUUACCUUUGGCCACACCAAUUUAAUUUCUUGUUCUACGGAUUUUUGGACUCCAAAAUUUGGGGCGAGCAAGCGAUUUGAAAAUUUUAAUAAAAAAAUAUUUAAUUUGCAAAUUUUUGAGGCGAAGCUUGAAAAGUAAAGGCGAGCGAUUAUAAUUUUUUUUUGUAAACAUAAAAAAGUAGGUUUUCACAAUAUUAAAGCUUGAUUUAUCACUUGUACUUUGCCAUUUCUUUAAUUUCUGAAGUAUUUUUUCCCUGUUCACCAAGAAAUAAUUAAAUCU